ensembl:lncRNA
UUAUUGAAAGUGUAGUUAGACACUGAAUUUUUAAGAAUUGCAUUUUGUAACAACACCUUUACUUAAUCAGGACUGAUAAUCUUACCUGAUGAUAGCACCUGGAGGAAUGGCUGCACUAAAAAAUGAAAAUGAAAUAAAACACGACCUUAUUUGAACUUAGCAAUAAUGCUGAUUCCUCUUUUUGGUUUGAGGAGGUUACAGCUGUUGUAAAUGCUUGAAUUGGGUCUGCCCAGGCAAGAUAGAGUCUAGAGUCCAUGUCUGAUGAACUUAAACAAUGUAGACAAUAAAAAGCGUUGCUUAAACUGCCCCUCUUUUACCAAAACACAUUUGCAAAUGAAAGAAUAACACUUCCAUUUUUAAAAAAAAAUUUUGAGAUGAAGUCUUGCUUUGUUACCCAGAGUGGAAUACAGUGAUGAGAACUUGGCUCACUGCAACCUUUGCCUCCCAGGUUCAAGUGAUUCUCCUGCCUCAUCCUCCCGAGUAGCUGGGACUACAGGCGCCCACCACCAUUCCCACUUCAUUUUUGUAUUUUUAGUAGAGACAGACUUUCACCAUGUUGGCCAGGCUGGUCUCGAACUCCUGACCCCAGGUGAUCCGCUGACCUUGGCCUCCGAAAGUGCUGGGAUUAUAGGCGUGAGCCGAUAGGCCUGGCCAAAAAAAUUUCCAUUUUUAAUUGCAGGGUCUGGGGAAUUAAAAUGCAUCCAUAAUUUCUUGCGUCUCUCUGCUCGGGCUUGCAUGAAUGCACAGGGAUGGGGAAUACUUCUUAGGCAAGCAUCCUCCUCUUGUCACCUGCCAUCUGGAGAGAGAGGGCUGUGAUUUAUCUCACUUUAAUCAGGAAGGACCCAACGGGAGGAUGGAGAGGUCUGAUGGCUUUGUUGCUCCAGGUGGGAAAGAAACGGACAGAGUGAAUUUGUGUAUGAUCCCUAAGGAGAAAGUGUCUUUGUGCUGUAUUUCUUUUUACCUGGAGACCCUGAAAGCAAGCUAGUUACAAGUUGAAAUAGGCCAGUUCUAAAGUGUGAUUUUGUUUGUGUUUGGGUCUUGAUUACAAAGGAAAAACAAAACAAAAUGCUUAAUUUACAUACACCAGAUGUAGUGCAGGAUCCCCUGGGCUAUCUUUUCAGGUAUCAGGGACCUUUGAUGAAAGUCACCUUCUCAUCUAGGAGUCAUUUCCUAUUGUUUAGCAGAGCCUGAUAUCAACAUUUCCUUCCAACUGUUUGCUGGAAUCUGUGUGUUCCCUUCAAGUGAUGCAUACGAGGUGCACAGGCUUCCUGCCACUGUCAUCCUAAUCUUUCCGUGGAGACAGAGGAGGAGAAGGGAGACUGCUGAGCCAGGCCCCAGCUCGCUUUUCUUUCCUGACUCAGUCCGGCUCCUCUGCACUUCUCAGCUCUUGCUGUAGGUGGUGAUGUUUGACCAUUUUCUUCAUGUGAACCUCCACACGGUGAUAUAAAUGCAUUCAGAGGAUGACCUGGAAUCAAAAAAAAAUUCCUUUUGAUUAGUAGAAUCAACUUAUUUCUCCACAUGAUACUCUUCCCACUGAGACACAUGGAGACAAUUCUGACUCCUUUAGGUUUGCAACCUUGAGAUUUCUCUCAGAUGCAAUAAAAAAAAAAAAAAAAA